rnacentral:rRNA from 1 species
UACGUAGGGUGCGAGCGUUAAUCGGAAUUACUGGGCGUAAAGCGUGCGUAGGCGGUUCGUUAAGUGCGUCGUGAAAGCCCCGGGCUCAACCUGGGAAUGGCGAUGGAAACUGGCGGGCUGGAGUAUGGCAGAGGGGGGUGGAAUUCCGCGUGUAGCAGUGAAAUGCGUAGAUAUCGUAAGGAAGACCAGUGGCGAAGGCGGGUCUCUGGACAGUUCCUGACGCUGAGGCACGAAGGCUAGGGGAGCAAACGGG